rnacentral:rRNA from 1 species
CACGUAGGGGCCAAGCGUUGUCCGGAUUUAUUGGGCGUAAAGAGCGUGUAGGCGGCUAGGUAGGUCCGUUGUAAAAACUCGAGGCUCAACCUCGAGACGCCGAUGGAAACCAUCUAGCUAGAGUCCGGAAGAGGAGAGUGGAAUUCCUGGUGUAGCGGUGAAAUGCGCAGAUAUCAGGAAGAACACCCGUGGCUAAGGCGGCUCUCUAGUACGGUACUGACGCUGAGACGCGAAAGCGUGGGGAGCGAACAGG